rnacentral:rRNA from 1 species
CGGGUUGUAGUCUGCAACCCGACUACAUGAAGCCGGAAUCGCUAGUAAUCGCGGAUCAGAAUGCCGCGGUGAAUACGUUCCCGGGUCUUGUACACACCGCCCGUCACACCAUGGGAGUUGGAAAUGCCCGAAGUCAGUGGCCCAACCGGAAGGGGGGAGCUGCCGAAGGCAGGUUCGAUGACUGGGGUGAAGUCGUAACAAGGUACC